CAUUAUAGAGUUUUAUAACUCCCAACCCUUUGUGAACUUACCUUUGUUGCCUCGGCGGGGCCUACCCGGUACCGACCCCUUUUGGGCGAAGUUACCCUGUAGCCCGCCGGUGGAUUUUCAAACUCUUGUUAUUUUAAUGUUAUCUGAGCGUCUUAUUUUAAUAAGUCAAAACUUUCAACAACGGAUCUCUUGGUUCUGGCAUCGAUGAAGAACGCAGCGAAAUGCGAUAAGUAAUGUGAAUUGCAGAAUUCAGUGAAUCAUCGAAUCUUUGAACGCACAUUGCGCCCAUUAGUAUUCUAGUGGGCAUGCCUGUUCGAGCGUCAUUUCAACCCUUAAGCCUAGCUUAGUGUUGGGAGUCUACUGGUGGUAACUUGUUACCUUGUAGUUCCUAAAAUCAAACGGCGGAUCUGCAGUAUCCUCUGAGCGUAGUAAAUUUUUAUCUCGCUUUUGUUAGGUGCUGUGGCUCUUGCCGCUAAACCCCCAAUUUUUAAUGGUUGACCUCGGAUCAGGUAGGAAUACCCGCUGAACUUAA
rnacentral:rRNA from 1 species